AACUAACGCUGGCGGCAUGCCUAACACAUGCAAGUCGAACGAGACCUUCGGGUCUAGUGGCGCACGGGUGCGUAACGCGUGGGAACCUGCCCUUAGGUUCGGAAUAACUCCCCGAAAGGGGUGCUAAUACCGGAUAAUGUCUUCGGACCAAAGAUUUAUCGCCUUUGGAUGGGCCCGCGUUGGAUUAGCUAGUUGGUAGGGUAAAAGCCUACCAAGGCGACGAUCCAUAGCUGGUCUGAGAGGAUGAUCAGCCACACUGGGACUGAGACACGGCCCAGACUCCUACGGGAAGCAGCAGUGGGGAAUAUUGGACAAUGGGCGAAAGCCUGAUCCAGCAAUGCCGCGUGAGUGAUGAAGGCCUUAGGGUUGUAAAGCUCUUUUACCCGGGAUGAUAAUGACAGUACCGGGAGAAUAAGCUCCGGCUAACUCCGUG
rnacentral:rRNA from 1 species